AACGCUGGCGGCGCGCCUAACACAUGCAAGUCGAGCGAGAACCUGGCCUUCGGGUCAGGGGACAGCGGCGAACGGGUGAGUAACACGUGGGCAACCUGCCCUCGGUACUGGGAUAGCCCGGGGAAACCCGGAUUAAUACCGGAUAGCCUCCGGAGCCUUCGGGCGCCGGAAGAAAGGUGGCUUCGGCAUCCGACCGAGGACGGGCCCGCGGCGGAUUAGCUUGUUGGUGAGGUAACGGCUCACCAAGGCGA
rnacentral:rRNA from 1 species